AACGAACGCUGGCGGCAUGCCUAACACAUGCAAGUCGAACGAGACCUUCGGGUCUAGUGGCGCACGGGUGCGUAACGCGUGGGAACCUGCCCUUAGGUUCGGAAUAACUCCCCGAAAGGGGUGCUAAUACCGGAUAAUGUCUUCGGACCAAAGAUUUAUCGCCUUUGGAUGGGCCCGCGUUGGAUUAGCUAGUUGGUAGGGUAAAAGCCUACCAAGGCGACGAUCCAUAGCUGGUCUGAGAGGAUGAUCAGCCACACUGGGACUGAGACACGGCCCAGACUAGUGGGGGGGGCAGGAGUGGGGAAGAGGGCAGAGGGGGCGAAAGACUGAACGAGCAGCGCGGGGUGAGUGAUGGAGGCCUGAGGGUGGGAAUGCUCUUGCACGGGGGAAGAUGAGGACAGUGCGUGGAGAAGAGCCACCGGCUCACGCCGUGCCAGCAGCGGCGGUAAAAAACGGAAGAGAACACGUGUGACC
rnacentral:rRNA from 1 species